rnacentral:rRNA from 1 species
UACGGAGGGGGCUAGCGUUGUUCGGAAUUAUUGGGCGUAAAGGGCGCGUAGGCGGCCGGAUAAGUCUGACGUGAAAUCCCUCGGCCUAACCGGGGAACUGCGUUUGAAACUGUCUGGCUCGAGUCCGGGAGAGGGUAGUGGAAUUCCCAGUGUAGCGGUGAAAUGCGUAGAUAUUGGGAGGAACACCGGUGGCGAAGGCGGCUACCUGGACCGGUACUGACGCUGAUGCGCGAAAGCUAGGGUAGCAAACAGG